GGAUUUUUCAGGAGAACUGGGUGUGGGCAUGAAGAGAACAAAAGCCAUAUUUUUGCAGGUACCUGGGAACACGUUCCACCUAUCUUUGCCCUGCUCUGUGCUCUAAGAGGCUGAUUCCAUGGAUUCCCUUGCCCUCAGGCUUCCAUUUGGCUUCCAUCCAUGAAAAGCACAGAUAGGAGAACAGGGGACAGGAGGACAGAGAGGUGUGGCAACCUUCCCCUCUGGCUCUGCUUUCCUUCCAACCAGGCCUAGGGAGAUCAAGUUGGGGUAGUCACCGAGGUGGAGACAUGAAACAAAGAAUAUCAAAGGCUGAUACUUCUGCAAACAACCAGAAGCUCGUCCUGCUUGUUGGAGAAUUGGCUGGGCCCAGAACAUCUGGAGGAGUCAGGAAGGGGCAAGCCUCCUUACAAGAGGCAGCUUGUAGAUGAACAGCAUGUUUGUAUAAGAAUUCAAGGAACUGACUGCAGAACACACAGACCCUGACCAUCAAGCAUUCCAGCUCCCAUAGAUUUGCUGACCUUCAACCAUGGAGCCAGGAUGAUGUGAAGCCAGGAUGAUGUGAACCAGUGAUGACUAAAGCAGGACAAUGCACACAGAACCAUCACUUGCCUUAUUGGAACAGACUGUGCUCAUCUGUAUGUAGAGAUUUUGCAACCUCCUCCCUUGAUCUCUUUGUUUUGUUUCCCUCUCCCUCCUUAGAGAAACCUCUGCCUCCACGGAGAGGUGGAAAUGGGCUUUGUGACAUGAGUCCCUUAUCUUCCAGAUGGCCAGCAUCUGCAAAUAAACCACUUUCCUUUACAUCAGCACCUGCCACUUCCGUAGUGUCAGACAGCCAGACCUGCAUUUUGGUUAGAGUUGGAAAUUAAAAAAAAUCAUCUGUAGUUGCUUUCGCCUCCUCCUACUUACCUUUCAUUUACUCUCACACCCCACUGAAAGCUGGCCUCUCUCCCGGCCACUUGGAAACUCUAAAUACUGUCAAACCCAGCAAUCCUGUCCUGUCAUACUUGACCUCUCAGUAGCAGUUGACUGACCAUUUCCUCCCUGGAGCACACUCCUCUUGGCUUCUGAGAUGGACUUCUCUCUCUUUCCUCCUUUCCAUGGAACUUUCUGUCAUGAUCUCCCUCAAACAUGCCCUUUUUUGCCACUUCCCCUGUAAGCAUCCACAUCCCCCAAAGCUCCACCUCAGCCCUCUUCUAGUCUCAUUCCUUAAACUUGCUGGAGGUCCUACCAAUUGCAGUGGCUUCCAUUUAUCAAAUGCCAGUGGUGCCCCAAUCUGUGUCUCCUGCCCAGGCUUCUGUGUUGAGCUCUACCCUGCUCCUCUGCAAACUUUCCUACUGGGCAGAAACUCCUGAAUGUUCCAUGGAUCCUCAUCAAGCACUGAAGUGUUUGUGAUCGUACAUCCUCCCUCUACCCCCAAGAAAUUCAGCAGAGAAGAAUAGGAGAGAGACAGGAACAUGAGGAGGUGGGAUUGAGAAAGGUUAUAACUGCUUUCACAUUAGAAACACUUGAACCAGAAUGAAAGCUGAAUGAAAAGAACUAGUGGAAAGAAAGAAGACAGGCACAGAAGAAGCUGAGUUCCUGAGAAGGUGGAAGAGAAGAACUAGAAGCAAGAAGACAGGUUCCAAUUCAGAAACACCUGGAGGUGCAAGGGAAAUAAUUGAUGGCAUUACUGCUAGCUGGUCUCUUUUCUCUUUGAACCAGAAGGCAAGAUCAUUUUCUGGGAGUGGAAUAAAAUGGGUGAA